rnacentral:rRNA from 1 species
GACCGUGCAAAGGUAGCAUAAUCAUUUGCCUUAUAAUUGAAGGCUUGUAUGAAUGGUUUGACAAGAAUAGAUCUGUCUCUUUACAAUUAAAUAUAAUUUUAUUUACAGGUGAAGAAGCCUGUAUUUGAUUGAAAGACAAGAAGACCCUAUCGAGCUUAAAAACAAUCUAUAAAUCUAAAAUCAUAUUUAUAUCGGAUUAGUAAUAGAAAAUUUUAGUUGGGGCGACAGAGGAACAAACAAAGCUUCCUUAAAAUUUUAAUACAUGCAAGUGGUGAUCCAAAUAUUUUGAUUAAAGGAAUUAGUUACCGUAGGGAUAACAGCAUUAUCUUUUUUGAGAGCUCAAAUCGAAAAAAAGGUUUGUGACCUCGAUGUUGGACCAGAAUAUCCUAAAGAUGCAGCUGUCUUUAAGGGUUGGUCUGUUCGACCAUUAAAAUUCUACGUGAUCUGAGUUCAGACCGGCGUGAGCCAGGUCAGUUUCUAUCUUCAAUUUAUUGGUGUGGACUUAGUACGAAAGGAUCAGUCUACAACAAAAGUUGUUUUAGUUGAUGAAGUAUAAAGAAAAAUUUAGUUUAUUAAAGAUUUUUAGGUUAUCAAAUUAGCAAAGACAAUGCAAUUGAUUUAGGAUCAAUAGACAUAGGUGAAACUCCUUUAUUUGAUAUACUCAUAAAGGUGGCAGAUGAA